rnacentral:rRNA from 1 species
AUUGAACGCUGGCGGCAUGCCUUACACAUGCCAGUCGAACGGCAGCAUGAUCUAGCUUGCUCGAUUGAUGCCGAGUGGCGAACGUGUGAGUAAUACAUCGGAACGUGCCCUGUAGUGGGGGAUAACUAGUCGAAAGAUUAGCUAAUACCGCAUACAACCUGAGGGUGAAAGUGGGGGACCGCAAGGCCUCAUGCUAUAGGAGCGGCCGAUGUCUGAUUAGCUAGUUGGUGAGGUAAAGGCUCACCAAGGCGACGAUCAGUAGCUGGUCUGAGAGGACGAUCAGCCACACUAGCACUGAGACACGGCCCAGACUCCGACGAGAGGCAGCAGUGGGGAAUCUUGGACAAUGGGCGAAAGCCUGAUCCAGCAAUGCCGCGUGUGUGAAGAAGGCCUUCGGGUUGUAAAGCACUUUUGUCCGGAAAGAAAUGGCUCUGGUGAAUACCUGGGGUCGAUGACGGUACCGGAAGAAUAAUGACCGGCUAACUACGUG